rnacentral:misc_RNA from 1 species
AUUAAAUUAAAGAACUAAAGAAAAAUAAAUAAAAAAAAAAGGAAAAGUAAAAAGUGAUGACAUCAUGCAUGACCUCAUGCAUGAUGCAAUAAUUAUUAUAAUUAAAAUUUGUGGUCUUCCUAAAGACAUAAAAGAAAAUAAAGAAAAAAAAAAAUCAAAAGUCUUCUUCAUUGCCGUCCCUCUCACUCUCACCCUCUCCCUC